GCCGUAAACAAAGAGAAGAAGGUCCGACUAUUACUGCGCAUGUUCAGUGAGGUGGGAGGUGUGUUUGUUCUGACAGGUUUUCUCUAUAACCAAUGAGCAGAGUUAUCAGUGAAUUGUUUAAAAGUUUACAAGCAAAGACGAAAGGUGACAGAGCCAGAUUGGGCUUUCAGAGAUGACAUCUCCUAGACUUAAAAGGAUUUAAAACCGACCCAGAGAUGGACUCUUCUUGCUCUACGGGACAUCCCACUGCAGCAGGUGGAAGAGACUGAGGCCAUAUGGACAGAAAGAUGAACUCUUCAGAGACUGCAGUUACUCCAAAAAAAAACCUGACUGGAAGAUUCGGAGAACCUUGUGGAGACACUGCAACCCAAUCUCACUGGAAAUUGUAUCCAUAUUACAAGCUCUCUGACAUUGGUCAACUGACGUCCAGCUGCACUGAUGAUUGACGCUGACGUUUGACACAACUGUUAUUCUCAAAAACGGUCCAAGGACAGCAGUCCAACAAUUACAGAACUGCAGCAAUAACAAACGCCAAACCAAAUUAAAACAUCUUCGACUGUGUAUUCAGAAUCUUUCAGCUACGUACGAGUGGCCUCAAGCAAGCCGAGUUGUUGUUCCAAAGAUUUCAUUCACAGAUGUUUGCACAAGUGGUUUGGCCAUCCGCAGCUUUUCUGCUCCUCUGUUGAUCUCAUUCCGGUCGCAGGUCUCGGAGUGCACAGGUGUGGAUUGUCCAGCCGUGUCAUGUGGGCCAAAUCGUCUGUAUCCAGAACAUUCAAAAACUGCCACAUGCUCCCAAAGCGCUCUUGUUUUAAUGUUUUAUUUUGCAAUCAGAUGGGAUUAAAAUGGGAAGUUCCAAGCAAAACAGGUUGCGUUUACACUGAUCACAAACUUCUCCUUUGGCAACUUCACAGUACACACAUGAGAAGUAUAUUAGUAGGUUUUCUUCAGUGAUUUCCCUACUUCCACAUGAAGAUUUAUUUCUUAAACACAGGUUUAAUCUGUUUUAAGGAUCAUAGCCUUAUUGUUACAGGAUUAGAAUCAGUACAGUUGUAGUACCAAGGUAUAUUACUCUGUAUCAAAGUAAUAAUACAGAGUACAUUCAAUUGUAUUAAAUGAUUACCUUGUUAGGUACUACCAUUUAAUUGACACCAAGUAAUUCAAAGAAUAAAAUAUAACUUUUUACAAUACGCUUCUUAAUACAUUAGUAAUCAUGAACGCCCUUGUGGAUUUAAGCAUACUUUUUUUUUAAA